CAUUAUGAAGCUAACAUGAGCAUUAACCUUUUAAGUUAAAGACUUGGGCAUUAAUGCCCUCAUAAUGA
rnacentral:tRNA from 1 species